UACGGAGAGUGCAAACGUUGUUCGGAUUCACUGGGCGUAAAGGGCACGUAGGCGGCCCCGGCAAAUCGGUCGUGGAAUCCCGACGCUUACCGUCGGAACGGCGGCCGAAAAUACCGGGCUCGAGGGCGUGAGGGGUCACUGGAACUCCUGGUGUAGCGGUGAAAUGCGUAGAUAUCUGGAGGAACACCGGUGGCGAAGGCGGCAUCCUGGACCGGUAUUGACGCUGAGACGCGAAAAGCGUGGGGGAGCAAACAGGG
rnacentral:rRNA from 1 species